AUGGAUUCCUCCCAGCAGCUGGGGUCAGCAGCGCCCGGAUCAGCACCUCAAUCUGCGAGCGGCUCCAUGGCGCCGCGCCGCCGCCGAGGCCGCGCUCCCGGAGGGGCGGGAGGGGACGGGACGGGGGAAGGGGAGGGGAGCGCGGUGCCGCCGCCGUCGCCCGCCCGGAACGCCGCGCCACCCCCGUUCCCGCCCGGAACGCUUUCGGGGGCGCACGCGGC
rnacentral:lncRNA from 1 species